rnacentral:rRNA from 1 species
AGAGUUUGAUCCUGGCUCAGGAUGAACGCUAGCGACAGGCUUAACACAUGCAAGUCGAGGGGCAGCACGGGAGUAGCAAUACAACUGGUGGCGACCGGCGCACGGGUGAGUAACGCGUAUGCAACCUACCAAUCAGAGGGGAAUAACCCGGCGAAAGUCGGACUAAUACCGCAUAAAACAGGGGCACCGCAUGGUGAUAUUUGUUAAAGAAAUUCGCUGAUAGAUGGGCAUGCGUUCCAUUAGGUAGUUGGUGAGGUAACGGCUCACCAAGCCGACGAUGGAUAGGGGAACUGAGAGGUUGGUCCCCCACACUGGUACUGAGACACGGACCAGACUCCUACGGGAGGCAGCAGUGAGGAAUAUUGGUCAAUGGGCGAGAGCCUGAACCAGCCAAGUCGCGUGAAGGAAGAAGGAUCUAUGGUUCGUAAACUUCUUUUGCAGGGGAAUAAAGUGCAGGACGUGUCCUGUUUUGUAUGUACCCUGAGAAUAAGGAUCGGCUAACUCCGUGCCAGCAGCCGCGGUAAUACGGAGGAUCCGAGCGUUAUCCGGAUUUAUUGGGUUUAAAGGGUGCGUAGGUGGUUUGAUAAGUCAGCGGUGAAAGUUUGCAGCUUAACUGUAAAAAUGCCGUUGAAACUGUCGGACUUGAGUGUAAAUGAGGUAGGCGGAAUGCGUGGUGUAGCGGUGAAAUGCAUAGAUAUCACGCAGAACUCCGAUUGCGAAGGCAGCUUACUAAGCUACAACUGACACUGAAGCACGAAAGCGUGGGGAUCAAACAGGAUUAGAUACCCUGGUAGUCG